UGGGGAAUCUUGGACAAUGGGCGCAAGCCUGAUCCAGCCAUGCCGCGUGGAUGAUGAGGGCCUUAGGGUUGUAAAAUCCUUUCGCCGAGGACGAUAAUGACGGUACUCGGAGAAGAAGCUCCGGCUAACUUCGUGCCAGCAGCCGCGGUAAUACGAAGGGGGCUAGCGUUGUUCGGAUUUACUGGGCGUAAAGCGCGUGUAGGCGGGUCGUUAAGUUGGGGGUGAAAUCCCGAGGCUCAACCUCGGAACUGCCUUCAAAACUGGCGACCUGGACCUAAGUAGAGGCAAGUGGAAUUGCGAGUGUAGAGGUGAAAUUCGUAGAUAUUCGCAGGAACACCAGUGGCGAAGGCGACUUGCUGGACUUAUGGUGACGCUGAGACGCGAAAGCGUGGGGAGCAAACAGGAUUAGAUACCCGGGUAGUCCCUGAGCGGGCUGGCAAGGCGCAU
rnacentral:rRNA from 1 species